AACGAACGCUGGCGGCGUGCCUAAUACAUGCAAGUUGAGCGCUGAAGGUUGGUACUUGUACCAACUGGAUGAGCAGCGAACGGGUGAGUAACGCGUGGGGAAUCUGCCUUUGAGCGGGGGACAACAUUUGGAAACGAGUGCUAAUACCGCAUAAAAACUUUAAACACAAGUUUUAAGUUUGAAAGAUGCAAUUGCAUCACUCAAAGAUGAUCCCGCGUUGUAUUAGCUAGUUGGUGAGGUAAAGGCUCACCAAGGCGAUGAUACAUAGCCGACCUGAGAGGGUGAUCGGCCACAUUGGGACUGAGACACGGCCCAAACUCCUACGGGAGGCAGCAGUAGGGAAUCUUCGGCAAUGGACGAAAGUCUGACCGAGCAACGCCGCGUGAGUGAAGAAGGUUUUCGGAUCGUAAAACUCUGUUGGUAGAGAAGAACGUUGGUGAGAGUGGAAAGCUCAUCAAGUGACGGUAACUACCCAGAAAGGGACGGCUAACUACGUG
rnacentral:rRNA from 1 species